GGGCAAGGUAAUGAAGGGUGAGGGCAGGAGCCUUGGGACUAGGAGGCGAUGAAGGACGUGAUAAAGUGCGAUAAGCUUCGGGGAGUUGAACGUAAACUUUGAUCCGAAGAUUUCCGAAUGAGGAAACUAACUUAGAGUAAUGUCUAAGUAUCAUUAAGUGAAUACAUAGCUUAAUGAGGGGAACUCAGGGAACUGAAACAUCUAAGUACCUGAAGGAAGAGAAAGAAAUUCGAUUCAGUAAGUAGUGGCGAGCGAACGCUGAUUAGCCCAAACUAAUAAAGUUUUCUUUAUUGGGGUUGCGGACAUAGCAUAACGAAGAGGUAUCGUAAUUGAAGAGGUGUGGAAAGACCAACCACA
rnacentral:rRNA from 1 species